rnacentral:lncRNA from 1 species
ACUGGCGAUGAGAGUGUAAAAGGGUAAAGCCACUUGGGAAACAGUUCGGCAGUUUCUUAAAAAGUUAAACAUAUACUUACCAUAUGAUCUAGUAAUUCUGCUCCUAGGUUUGUGCCCAAGAGAAAGGAAGACAUAUGUCCACACAAAGACUUGUACAUGAAUGUUCAUGGCAGCAUCAUUCAGAAUUGCCCUAAGUUAGAAACAAACCAAAUGUCCGCCCACUGGUGAGUGGAUAAACAAAAUGUGAUACAGCUAUACAAUGAAAUGUUAUUAAAAAAAAGAAUGAGCUGAGAGUUCCCGUCGUGGUUCAGCAGAAAUGAAUCUGACUAGCAUCCACAAGGACGAAGGUUCAAUCCCUGGCCUUGCUCAGUGGGCCAGGGAGCUGGCGUCACCAUGAGCUGUGGGUAGGUCGUAGAUGAGGCUCGGAUCUGGUGUUGCCGUGGCUAUAGUGUAGGCCGCCAGCUGCAGCUCCAGUUCGACCCCUAGCCUGGGAACUUCCAUGAGCGGCAGGUGCGGCCCUAAAAAAAACAAACAAAAAAAGAAUCAGCUACUUCGAUAUGGUACAACAUGGAUGAAUUUCAAAGACACUAUGUGAAAUGAAAUAACCCAGACACGAAAGACCACAGAUCAUAUGAUUCCAUUUAGAUAAAAUUUCUAGGCAAAUCUAUAGAGACAUAAAACUCAGUAGUUGCCUGUGGCUGGGAGCAGGAUUGACUAUGAAGAGACAAAAAGGAACUUCAUGUUGCGAUGGAAGUGUUCCAGUUCAUAACUCUGUAAAGUUACUUUAAAAAUUAUUAAACUACAAAGCUACAAUGGUUGAAUUUUAAAGUAUAUAAUUUAUGCCUCCAAAAGAAGUAUUUAAUCAAACAGCGGGAUCUCAAAAAUGGCAACAGAAUGGUACAAGUGAAUGAAUGAAUUAAAAAAAAAUCGAAAUCAAUGUAACAAAAAUUUUUUUUAAUUCAAAGUAUUCAGGAGAUGGUGUUCAAAGAAAUAUAUCUGCAUAUGAUUAAGAGCCUUCCACACAUUGUCAUCCACUGCAGCCUAACAAAAGACUCAUUUCCUAGGUCAGCCUCGGUGUGAGAAGCAAAGGGGUCUCCGAUGAUGGAGAUCAUGUGAAUUCUCUUUUAACAUCCCCACCCACUGUGAGAAGGAUCCAGGGGUUCUGAUAUCCUACUUCACAGAUCCAUCUAGAGGAAUAAAAAAUCA